ensembl:lncRNA
CUGUUCCCAGAUGCUCAACAAACAGGCCUCCCACUCAGCCUUGAGAGUGGAACAGGAAGGUUUAUGUUGACAUUACUAACAGAGACAAAGGAAAGAAGAGGAAACACCGCUCGUUAGCUGCACUUCUGAAGGCCGAUGGAUAACGCUUCUCUGUAUCUGGGGUGGUCAAGGACGGAAAUCAAUAUCACAGCAUGGAAAGGCUCCGGCACAGGCAAAAGGAAGGGCUGAUCUAACUAAGCAAGCCAGAUGCCUACAGCCUCCUCCUGCUCAGUAGCCCAAGUUUCCUUCGCUUUCAGCCAC